CGACGCACUGCGUCGUUGUAAGUCUCGUCGGACAAUUUACCGGACCACACUGGACGUCGGCUGCGGGACGAAUAGGUAGUAUCGUCGGAUCUGUAAUUAGUGAAAGCACCAAUUAGUCAUGAGCGGAAAAUGGAAUGGAACCAAACAAAACAUAAAUUACAAUGUUAUGAUCGGUCUACCACAAAAGAUUUAAAUUUUUUUGUGUCGCUUGGUAUAUAACAUUUGGACCUAUUUCGACUCGACUCAACAACAGUUACUGUGAGCAAAUAGAUAACUGCGCAAAUACAGUUGCUAGAAACGCAAAAAAAUUUAGAUGAAAUGAGACCUGGAGAAUAGAGAUACCAGUAAUUAACGUUACACCUGUAUAAGCAGGUCAAUCGCUGGAAGCGACACAGACAUCGAGAAACAGAACAGCAUGCAAGCAAUGUGCAGCAAGUAAAAGUCAAGGGAGAUACGGCUGUGAACUUUGACAACGGCAUGAUUACCAAUAAAGAACGCUAUAAUCGAUUGCCUUCUUUACUAGAUACGCGCACGAAACGGCAAAUACAUAUUUAUAUAUUCUGUGCCGAAUACACAAAAUUGUAUAUUACACUCGGAAAGUAAAUGAUUCCUUAAAAGGUAGCAGGUAACAGGCAGGAGGAAGCGUAACCACCGCAAUGAAGCAUAUUAAUUAUUGAUUACGAUCACGUUCUCUCUUGUAUUUAUCGCAUUAGGGCAGGGGUUCCUCCAGGGGAGUAAAUCUUUUAACAGCUAAAACAAGCUAUAAGGUAUUGGUAUUGACUUAAAGUGUUGACACCAUAAACAACCUGCCAUCAGCUGGAAUGAAGACGUGUGAUUGUGAUACAUAUUGAGCCAAAUCACUAACGUUAGACAUGCAGAGGCAUGUCUGGUAGUAACUAUCAAAAAGGCCUUUAAAUGUUUAUAUGUAUAUGGGUAAAUUUUCAGUUGGCUAUAUUUAUAAUUAAUAUAUAAUAUAAUUAAAACCCCACCAAACCUGGGGAAGUAGUGCACAUGAGUUGGCCACACAUCGCGAAACUGCGCAUAUCCUGACGCUAAUAAUGCAGGCUCCCGAGAUUUUUUCACCGAGGGUAUCCUCUUUCGUCGCCGAUGGCUUGCAUUUCGGGAUACACAUCCAGGUCCAAGCUGCUGCUGCUCCCUAUAGUGCGCAAUGCCUUCCACAACCAGGCCGACAGAGGAGCACAUGCCUCAGGCCCUUGGAAAAUUUUACGGCAUCAAGCCAACAGACGGGAUAUUAGACCGCUUAGCGCGCUUCAAGCCAACUUGCUCGUCGGAUCCAACAAUGUAAACUGCGUAGGUUGACUGAUUGAUGGCUUCUCCUCCUCGCCUAAUGUAUCCGAAUUUGACUGAACAUUUAUUGAACAACCGAAUAAUACAAUUUCUGUUAGCAACAGCAGUUUGCGGUUAUUUGUUAUCACGUCAGCUCGCGAUUUAUUUUUGUUUGUUUGACAUCGGAUUGGAGUUGAAAAAGUAACGAAAGGCUGAAUUGUUGGGUUGCUAAACUGUAUCUAUUAAUACCCUCAAAAAAAUCAUUUAAAUAUGUAUAACCACUAAAAUAAUUUUGGUACACAAAAAAUUGUGUUCGAUUAUAAAUAAAAAACUUCAUUUUAAUCAUAUCAUUAAUAAUAAUGAAUUUUGCAGUAAACAAAGUAGACUCUUUAGUACGGUUCCCCCCGAAUGACCCGACUGAAAAAAACGAUAAUCACUAAAUUACUGCUCCGUGAAAAAAAAUUCAGGGUAGACAAAUUAAAUUGAAAAGAUCCCGACGAACACAGCCAACUAUAUCUACUCUCACAUUUAGUGCCCUCUUUUACUUCCACACCCACACCCAACAAUCCAAACACACUUAGGCUUAGUGGGCGUGGUCCACCCUUGAUAGAAAAAUUACUAACGUUCAUGUCGUUAACCAUUGUAACUGCAAACACCAACUUUUGCAUACACCAACACCUCUUUUACAAGCCAAUUUUGUCCAAUUUGGACAUCUCGACUCACGAUAAACAAGACAGAAUAAACGAGACAGAACGAACUAUGUCAAAAAUCGUUAGUAGAGUUGUUGGAUAGGUCCAGAGUUAUACAAUCUAGGAGCAAGAACUCGCAAGCCGUCGAAAGACACUAUCUAACGAUGUCCCAGGGAUUAUUUUAAAAAAAUGCACCACAUAAUUAUAAAGAAAAUUCGUAUCAUAACCGGUUAUACAAGAUGGCUGAAAAGUAGCUUGAACGAAUCGGUUUUUGGCCCGAUAAACUAACAAACAAAAACAAGUUGAGUUAACCG
ensembl:ncRNA asRNA:CR43480 antisense RNA:CR43480